rnacentral:rRNA from 1 species
GACGAACGCUGGCGGCGUGCCUAAUACAUGCAAGUAGAACGCUGAAGGAGGAGCUUGCUUCUCUGGAUGAGUUGCGAACGGGUGAGUAACGCGUAGGUAACCUGCCUGGUAGCGGGGGAUAACUAUUGGAAACGAUAGCUAAUACCGCAUAAGAGUAGCUGUUGCAUGACAUUUGCUUAAAAGGUGCAAUUGCUUCACUACCAGAUGGACCUGCGUUGUAUUAGCUAGUUGGUGGGGUAACGGCUUACCAAGGCGACGAUACAUAGCCGACCUGAGAGGGUGAGCGGCCACACUGGGACGGAGACACGGCACAGAGUGAUACGGGAGGCAGCAGGAGGGAAUCGGCGGCAAGGGACGGAAGUCUGACCGAGAAACGCGGCGGGAGGGAAGAAGGAUGUCGGAUCGUAAAGCUCUGUUGUAAGAGAAGAACGAGUGUGAGAGUGGAAAGUACACAGUGUGACGGUAUCUUAUAAGAAAGGGACGGCUAACUACGUG